GGACCGAUGGAUGAGAUUUCUUAUUACUCAUCAUCCUAAUUAGCAUGUGUGAACUUUGUCAUACAGAUUAGUGAAAAAUAAUAUCUUGAUAUGGUUAUGAUGUGCAUAUUUGUGAUUACUAAGGAUGGUGAACUUUUCCUUAAAUGAAAACAUCAUUUCAUGGUCAAUUACGGGUAAUUAAAGGAAGAAAUUUGUCUUUGAAUACCAAAAAGAUACACGAUUUAGAGAGUCAUUCCAAAGAAAAAAACCUAUACUACUUGGGACAUCUAACGUAUGCUCUUCUUCAGAGUCGUUGAAAGAAUGAUGCAGUACCCUGUUUUCUGCCACACCAUAUUACACACGAGUCAUCACAAUUGUUAAAGAUCAAUGAGAAUCGUCUGAAGCUGCCUGAGAGAAAUAAUGGAUGGUGAGAAAUGUUUUGCUUUCCCUCCAUGGAAACUAAGAUUCUAUUGCAUCUAUGGGAGCCAGUCAGUAGACCUUUGACAGAAAGUCAUCUGGGACAAAGCAAGUCCAAGAUCGAGGCAUGGU
rnacentral:sRNA from 1 species